rnacentral:lncRNA from 1 species
UGUCUUCUAGGUUUAGUUAUAGUUCAAAAUUAAUUCCCUUGUGGAGAAAAUGAAAGGGAUUUUUAACCCAACUUUUAAACAAUAAUGACAGUUUUAAAUUGGGUUAUCAUCUGCGAUUGGCUGGAAAACAAGUAGCCCCGCCCCCAAAGUACACCAUUGGUUGAGCCACUGUUGCUAUGUAAUAUGGUCAAAACAUUCAAACAAACAGUCAAAACAUUUUGAGGGAAUCAAACAAUCACUUGUUUGCAUAUUAAGCUAUAGGGAGACUAAAGCAUUUAAAUCUAUAUAAAUUAAAAAAUGACACAUUUUACAGCUUUUCAGUAUGUGUUCACUUUUAACAGUGUAAUCUCAUCAUUGUUUCCUCACUUAAUAAAGAGAUCUGCCUCUCAAAGACGUAAAAAAAUGACGUGUUUGGCUCUUCUCUGAUUUUUAUCAUGUGGAAAAAAUGAUUGCUUUGGCGACACGUUUACAUUUUCUCAUUGGCUAUUUAAUGGAAACAAUGAGCAGUAAAUUAAAAUCUAAAUAGUUGUAGGAGUCAGGUAAAGUUGUGUGUCUAUACUGUGGGCUUGACCUUUCUUCUGCUGCCAUUCAUGAGUGUGUCAUGGGAGAUUAGAGUUUUGUAGAAAGAGAGAGAGAAAGAAAGCACGUGCUCGCUGAACUGCUCUAUUUGUUUCUGGGCAUAAAGCCAAGCGUUCUGACUCUCUACACCUUGGCCUUGAGAGGGGCCACCGGCUCUUUAAAAUACGCCAUUGUCAAGUGUCUCCAGUGUAUCUUCAUGGACUACUGUGCUUUCAUUCUGUUUGACCUCUGGUGUUCAGUGACUGACCCUGUGCUGUGCAGGCACUCACCCCUGGAGAGAUACAAUGCCUUGGCUGAAUUUCCCUUCAUCCGUCCAAUGGAGACCUGACCGGGCCGAACAAAAGCCACCUCGCUGAACUGAACUCGAGCGCUCGCAACAGAGAAUACAGAACAUGGCAUCUUUAAAAGAGCUUGUCUACAUCAAGUCCCCUAAUUGACACAGGGGUGAAAAGAACUGCCUAAUUGCAUGAUUUAGACUCACAAUACGCCCUGACAGAUGACACUAAUCACAGCGGGAAUUAUUAAGCCAUGUUUCUUGCUUAGACAGCAAAUGAGACACUAUAAAAGGUCACACAUAUUGGUCUUAUGAUACGAAUGCAGAAUGUGGUUAAAAUGGUGCAUACGCAGCAGGGGUCAUGUGUGUGAGUGUAUACUUACUCAUUAAAAUGCAUUCAGCACAGCUCAGCGUCGCAGAGUCAAUAUUAAACUAUGUUUAAUGCGGUCCUUUGCACCUGCGAUGUCCCAAAAAGACUAUAAUUACACACAACUAACAAAGAUUGAUUGGACAUAAGUAUGAUUGUUAGUAUAAAGACAAUCACUGAAAGUAUUUUAUUUUAUUUUUGCUAAUGGUUAGCAAGUUGUAACUGAGUGCCAGGCGUUUUUUUUUUUUUCUAAAUAUGUAAGCGUACAACUAAAAUCAAGUAGUCAAACAUACAGCUUGUAAGCUGUUUGUUCGUUUCAGCAGCGGUUGUCGAGUUGACUGUGGUGUGUUGGUUGGUGUGGGUUUUGGUUGUUUUUGUGUUCAGUGGUGGAAAGUCAGAUUGUGACUUUUUUAUGUUUGUUGGGAUCACCUGAUUUUUUUAUUUACUAGUAAUAUAU